GUCCAGCCUCUCUUACAGGCAGGUAGCAUCUCCCUCUUUCAGGGAGACUGCAUCAGUAUGAGGUCAUACUUGGCAGUCUUUUUUAUGCUCAAGUAGCAAGUCUCUCUUACAGGCAAGGAAGAGGGCAGGAGUUGGGCAUCAUCAGAGUACCGAAGACCCCUCACUCCAAAUUGGCAGGUGAACUAUCUUACUAGUUUUAUGUAGAUGUUAAAUAGUAUAAGGGACAAGACUUGCAGAACCUUGUUGCAUCAAUGCCAUAGGGCUGAGAGAAGGGCAUAUAACACAUGCCAGGAGUAGGACUUUUGAAAAAACGGUGUCCCCAAAUCUCUUCACUCCAAUUUUCUGCCCAGGAGGCCUACAAGGAAAGCUCUCAGUCACACACACCGCAGUAAACCCGAAUUAUAAUUUUACAUUUAACAGAAAAAUAAAUAAUGUAAAGGCAUUUUGGUUUUUUAAAAGCACUGCAUUACAAAAUGAGCCUCACUACAAAGAUAUGCAAAACAGCACAAGGGCAAGGUUAAAUUAUUGAAGGAUGAGUAAAAAAGUAAAGGGGGAAAAGAAGGAUUUGGUUUUUUUGGUUUUUCUUUUUUGUAUAAUAUAUUGUUUCACUAGGUUUCUAUGUAAUCCGGGAAAUAGAGUAUUCAUUCACUUAAUAGAUCAAUAUCAUAUGUGUGUGUGUGUGUAUUCUGAAUAUGAUUAGUAAAUACAGAACAUACUUAAAUAUAGAUAGGGUUACUAAAGCUGUAACUUUAUAGUACCUAUUGUUUUUCCUUUCUCAACUUUUCAAGAGUUUUCUUCUCCUUUCUUCUUUUUCCAUAUCCAAGCAGGAAGUCCAUGGUCAAAUAAUAAAACCAAACAAACUAUUAAUGUUAGCAACAAACUGAAACCAUAACUCUCCAUGAUUUUUCAUCUUUUUCAUGAUUUUUAUUUUUAAAUAUUGUUAACUUUUAACAAUUUUAAAUUAUUGUUAAAUAUUGUUAAUUUAUUUUUAAAUAUUCCUUUCCCCUCUUCUUUUCUUUUCUUUUCUGUUAUGAAUAAGUUAAAAUUUUUAUCGUUAAAAAGAGAAAGCUGCUAUGCACCUGAUUCAAGCCGGAAGUCCUGUUUUUGCUUCCCUUUUUGUUCUUUUGUUCGUUUUUAUGUAAGUGCGUAAGCACCUUUUUCAUUUUAAUGUUUUGCUUCUUCAUUGUUCUCUUCUUCUUCUUUUUCUUUUACAUUCGUAUUGUUACUAAGGUGUGGUUUUUUUUAAUUAUAAGCUUUAUUUUUGUCCCAUUCACUUUUUCUAUUUCUUUUUUAUUAUUUUUACAUUGAUAUGCUUUUUAAAUUCUUCCUUUUUCUAAUGGUGGGUUGGGAUCCCACCUUACAGAACUCCAAAGGUAUUCCACAGACAAGUGCCACUACUGAAAAGGUCCUAAACUUCUGGGAUUAGCAACCUCACCACUGAAAAGGAAGGGACCCAGAAGGGACGAUCUUAACAGACAGAAGGCGAACUCUGAGAUACCUGAAUGGAUCCAAGUCCAGGUUAAGACCUUGGAGUGCCAGUACCUUGAACAGACUCUAGAAAUGAAUAGGAAAUCUGUGGAUGACUUGUAACAUCUAUGUAAUAUGGUACAAUGUUUGGUAAAAGCAAUUCAAAUUCCCACACCUACGCUUGCAAUGGCUGGCAGCUCUAAAAGGACUCCUGAUUCUUCACAAUCCACUACUUUGCUCCUUCAGCUACAGCAAUUCAUUGAUCUUGUACCUGAGCUUCAUCUGUGUCAUUUGUUGCUGGUGUUCUUAUGAAGGACAUUGAGCAAACACAGCUGCUCACAACAAUUUGUUUCGUAUUGGCUUUAUAAUAAAAGCAGCAGCAAAG